rnacentral:rRNA from 1 species
UAGGGGCAGAGGGAAUUUCCGGUGUAGCGGUGAAAUGCGUAGAUAUCGGGAAGAACACCAGUGGCGAAAGCGCUCUGCUGGACCAUUACUGACGCUCAUGGACGAAAGCCAGGGGAGCGAAAGGGAUUAGAUACCCCUGUAGUCCUGGCCGUAAACGAUGAACACUAGAUGUUGGGGGAAUCGACCCCCUCGGUGUCGUAGCUAACGCGUUAAGUGUUCCGCCUGGGGAGUACGCACGCAAGUGUGAAACUCAAAGGAAUUGACGGGGGCCCGCACAAGCGGUGGAGUAUGUGGUUUAAUUCGAUGCAACGCGAAGAACCUUACCAAGGCUUGACAUCCUGCGAAUCUCCGAGAAAUUGGAGAGUGCCUUCGGGAACGCAGUGACAGGUGGUGCAUGGCUGUCGUCAGCUCGUGUCGUGAGAUGUUGGGUUAAGUCCCGCAACGAGCGCAACCCACGUUUUUAGUUGCCAGCAUUCAGUUGGGCACUCUAGAAAGACUGCCGGUGACAAACCGGAGGAAGGUGUGGACGACGUCAAGUCAUCAUGCCCCUUACGCCUUGGGCUACACACGUACUACAAUGCUGCGGACAAAGAGUAGCGAUCUUGCGAAAGUUAGCUAAUCUCGUAAGCCGUGGCUCAGUUCAGAUCGUAGGCUGCAACUCGCCUACGUGAAGGAGGAAUCGCUAGUAAUCGCAGGUCAGCAUACUGCGGUGAAUACGUUCCCGGGCCUUGUACACUCCGCCC